GACGAACGCUGGCGGCGUGCCUAACACAUGCAAGUUGAGCGACGAACCAGGGCUUGCCCUGGGGCAAAGCAGCGAACGGGUGAGUAACACGUGGGUAACCUACCCCGAUAACCGGGACAACCCGAGGAAACUCGGGCUAAUACCGGAUAUGCUCACUGGACUUCGGUUCAGUGCGUAAAGGAAGCUUCGGCCUCCGUAUCGGGAGGGGCCCGCGGCCCAUUAGUUUGUUGGGGAGGUAACGGCUCACCAAGACCCCGAUGGGUAGCUGGUCUGAGAGGACGAUCAGCCACACUGGGGGUGAGACACGGGCCAGACUCCUAAGGGAGGCAGCAGGGGGGGAUAUUGGAGAAAGGCGGGAAGGCGGAGCCCAGCAACCCGCGGGGGUGAAAGAGGGCUUGGGGUUGUAAAGCCCCUUUGAGGGGGAAGAAAGGUUGGGGGUUAAAAAGCCGCCGUGCUGACGGGACCCACAGAAAGAGCCCCCGCUAACUUCGGG
rnacentral:rRNA from 1 species